CCUCACCAGGGCACCGAGCGGCCUCCUGGCUGGCACCUCCUGCGCCUGCGUGCGUGUCCUUGCGUGUCUGUGUAUGCGUGUCCGUUCGGGUCCAUGCGUGCGUGUCCGUGAGUGCAGGUCUGUGCGUGUGUGUCCGUGCGCACGUCUCGGUGCCGGCGCCCGUGCGUGCGUGCCCGCGUCCGUGCGUGCGCGUGCGUGCGUGCGUGCGUGUGUGCGUGUCCGUGCGCGCAUGUCCGUGUCCGUGCGUGCGUGUCCGUGCCCGCGCCCUUGCAUGCGUGCCUGCGUCCGUGCGCGCGCGUUGUCGGGGUCGUGAGGGUCAUGACCGCCGCCCGCCUGCCCAGCCCACGGCCUGGGGCCCCUAACCACCACUGGUUAGGUCCGCCGCCGGCCGCGGGGGCGGGGUGCACUGCUGGCUUCAGCAUGAAGAUAUCAGGCCUCGCCCUGAGAUCCUGGCGGCCCGGCCCUUGUCCCCCCCGUCCCCGCCACAGGGCAGCACCCCAAGAUCCCUAGGGGCCCGCAAGUCCCCUCGGGUGCUGCAGGGCCCUGGGCAGGAGCACACAGCAGCUGAUCUGCUGCCCCUGCAGGCUCAGGCCUCCUGGGUCCAGCCCUGCAGAGCCCCGGGGCCGGGCCGGCAGCUGGAGACCCCCUAACCGAGUUAGGCGAGGGGCAGCGGAGCCCCAUGGCACACAGAGGCCUGUUGGAGUGGUCUCCUGUUCCAGUCCCUUCGAGUGGAUGGAGCCAGGCGGUGGCCAGACCCAGCUCAGUGGGCUGCACACCCUCAGCCCCUCUCUGAUCCUAAGCCCCUCUCUGCAUCCUCUUCUUGGCCUGGAGCCCCAUCUGACAGACGGCCGAGCUGAAGGCCAGACAGACUCGCGGGAGGCAGGCGGAGAGGGGCCUGGGGGGAGGGUUCCGGGCACGGCGCGGCCCGUGCAAAGGUCCUGAGGAGGAGAUAGCGAGGCCCUCCCAUGCUCACCCCCGCACGGGGCCCACGUCUGCUCGUGGCUCAUCCAGACACUGCCCCGGCCUCCUCCCUUCAUCCCACUGUCAUCCCCGCAGCCGGAAGGCUCUUGUGAAAACCUGAGAGGUUCGUGAGACACUCAAAGGGAAAGUCAGGUCCUCGGGGUGGCCACGGAGGCCCCCACGACCUCCCUGGCUCCCCGGCACACCCUGUGCUCCAGCCCCCGUGGUCUCCUCCCGCUCCUGCACACUCACCAGGGGGACUCCUGCCCCAAGACCUCAGCGUGGGCCAUGCCAUGCCAGGAACCCUCCUCCCGGGCCUCUGUCUCCCCGCCGCCCCUGGG
ensembl:lncRNA